rnacentral:rRNA from 1 species
GUAGGUGGCAAGCGUUGUCUGGAAUUAUUGGGCGUAAAGCGCGCGCAGGCGGUCCUUUAAGUCUGAUGUGAAAGCCCACGGCUCAACCGUGGAGGGUCAUUGGAAACUGGGGGACUUGAGUACAGAAGAGGAAAGCGGAAUUCCAAGUGUAGCGGUGAAAUGCGUAGAGAUUUGGAGGAACACCAGUGGCGAAGGCGGCUUUCUGGUCUGUAACUGACGCUGAGGCGCGAAAGCGUGGGGAGCAAACAGGGAUUAGAUACCCUGGUAGUCCACGCCGUAAACGAUGAGUGCUAAGUGUUAGGGGGUUUCCCGCCCCUUAGUGCUGCAGCUAACGCAUUAAGCACUCCGCCUGGGGAUACGGCCGCAAGGCUG